rnacentral:rRNA from 1 species
UACAGAGGGGGCAAGCGUUAUUCGGAAUUAUUGGGCGUAAAGGGCGCGUAGGCGGCGGGGUAAGUCGGAUGUGAAAUCCCAGGGCUCAACCCUGGAACUGCAUUCGAUACUGCCCUGCUCGAGUACUGGAGAGGAGACUGGAAUUUACGGUGUAGCAGUGAAAUGCGUAGAGAUCGUAAGGAAGACCAGUGGCGAAGGCGAGUCUCUGGACAGUUACUGACGCUGAGGCACGAAGGCCAGGGGAGCAAACGGG